UUUUGAUAUUUUUUUCAAAGAUAGAUACAAUAAAGCUGAUGAAGUUCUUCUGUCACAUUUUAGAAAAGACAGAUGAUUUAGAUUCGGGAAAAUACUUGAUGGAAGGUGAAGAAACGGACAUUGUUCCAGACAUGGACACACCAAAGGACCAAUUUUGCUAAGAUUGUGCCACUGCACUCCAGCAACAGAGUGAGACCUUGUUUCAAAAAAAAAUUAAAAUAAAAAACCAUAAGGGAGGAUAUGCAUAGAUUAUAUGCAAACACUAUGCCAUUUUUUAUCAGGGACUUGAGGACCUACAGAUUUUGGUGUCUGCAGCAUUCUUGCAAUCAGUCCCUGGUGGAUAUUGAAGAUGAGCCAGAUGACUGAAGCUGGCUGGAACAUCAUGUGGUCCAUCAGUGCUGGACAGCCAGGCCUUCCCAGUUUCCUCAUAGCUUACUUUUGCACUCCAGUUUAGCUGCUGUCUGGUAAGAAGCUAAAGUUUUCAUUUAAUGUGAUAAUAUAAAAAGCUUUGAUGUUU
rnacentral:lncRNA from 13 species